UGCCAGACUCCUACGGGAGGCAGCAGUGGGGAAUAUUGCACAAUGGGGGAAACCCUGAUGCAGCAACGUCGCGUGAGUGAAGAAGUAUUUCGGUAUGUAAAGCUCUAUCAGCAGGGAAGAAAAUGACGGUACCUGAGUAAGAAGCCCCGGCUAACUACGUGCCAGCAGCCGCGGUAAUACGUAGGGGGCAAGCGUUAUCCGGAUUUACUGGGUGUAAAGGGAGCGUAGACGGCGAUACAAGUCUGAAGUGAAAGCCCGGGGCUCAACCCCGGGACUGCUUUGGAAACUGUGUUGCUGGAGUGCUGGAGAGGCAAGCGGAAUUCCUAGUGUAGCGGUGAAAUGCGUAGAUAUUAGGAAGAACACCAGUGGCGAAGGCGGCUUGCUGGACAGUAACUGACGUUGAGGCUCGAAAGCGUGGGGAGCGAACAGGAUUAGAUACCCCGGUA
rnacentral:rRNA from 1 species